rnacentral:other from 1 species
UGUUUUAAGGAUAAACACUGUUUUAGGAAGAAACAGUCGUUUCAGGAAGAAGCGUUGUUUUCAGGAAGAAGAACGGUUUUCAGGAAGAAACAUGGUUUCAGGAUGAAAUCAGGGACACCUCCAGGAAGGAGACCGAGAGCCGAUUAGGAAUAUCGGUGGGGCAGGAGCCUAAAGGGAUUGAAUCACGGAAGAUACAGGAUGGACACGUCAGGAAGAAAGUGGGACGCCAGCAAGGAUUGUGGGUUAGGACGACCAAAAAGGAAAAGUUUUCACGGAUGAGCAGGGAUGCAAAUGUGUAGCGGGAUAGCUAUAAAACGAACCGGGGGUACUGAGCAAUCAGUACCCCCAAUUUUUUGC